CCUACGGGAGGCAGCAGUGAGGAAUAUUGGUCAAUGGACGAGAGUCUGAACCAGCCAAGUAGCGUGAAGGAUGACUGCCCUAUGGGUUGUAAACUUCUUUUAUAUGGGAAUAAAAUGUUCCACGUGUGGGAUUUUGUAUGUACCAUAUGAAUAAGGCUCGGCUAACUCCGUGCCAGCAGCCGCGGUAAUCCGGAGGAUCCGUGGGUUAUCCGGGUUUUUUUGGUUUAAAGGGUGCGUAGGUGGGUUGUUAAGUCAGUUGGGAAAGUUUGCGGCUCAACCGUAAAAUUGCAGUUGAAACUGGCAGUCUUGAGUACAGUAGAGGUGUGCGGAAUUCGUGGUGUAGCGGUGAAAUGCUUAGAUAUCACGAAGAACUCCGAUUGCGAAGGCAGCUCACUGGACUGCAACUGACACUGAGGCUCGAAAGUGUGGGUAUCAAACAGGAUUAGAUACCCUUGUAGUC
rnacentral:rRNA from 1 species